UCGGGAAUUUUGGGCAAUGGGCGAAAGCCUGACCCAGCAACGCCGCGUGAAGGAUGAAGUAUUUCGGUAUGUAAACUUCGUAAGAAUAGGAAGAAUAAAUGACGGUACUAUUUGUAAGGUCCGGCUAACUACGCGCCAGCAGCCGCGGUAAUACGUAGGGACCAAGCGUUGUUCGGAUUUACUGGGCGUAAAGGGCGCGUAGGCGGUGUGUCAAGUCAGUUGUGAAAUCUCCGAGCUUAACUCGGAACGGUCAACUGAUACUGUCACACUAGAGUACAGAAGGGGCAAUCGGAAUUCUUGGUGUAGCGGUGAAAUGCGUAGAUAUCAAGAGGAACACCUGAGGCGAAGGCGGGUUGCUGGGCUGAUACUGACGCUGAGGCGCGAAAGCUAGGGUAGCAAACGGGAUUAGAUACCCCCGUAGUCCCUGAGCGGGCUGGCAAGGCGCAU
rnacentral:rRNA from 1 species